rnacentral:rRNA from 1 species
AUGGCCGGGGUCCUGUCUCCGACGAUGGUUCACAGCGCCGCCGAACCGCUCCACGACGACGGGACGACCGAAGUCCGGCUCUCGAUGGAGGAGGGUCCGACUGGUCAUCCUGGAGCAAACACUGUUGAUGAUGACGGUGGUACCUUUGCAACUUUGGCGAUGGGUGGCGGUGGCGUUGUGUCGUCGGAGCAGAGGAAGGGUUCAGGGGCACCGGUACUGCAGCAGGCGCUGGGAAGGACGCUCGGCUCGAAGCUGGCGCGCCGGGUCCUGGGAGGGGAGGCGGAGGACUCGGCGGCCGGGCCGUCGUGCCACUCCAACAACGCGCACAUCACCUGUGCCCCGCCGGCGCAGCGCUGA